rnacentral:rRNA from 1 species
AUUGAACGCUGGCGGCAGGCCUAACACAUGCAAGUCGAACGGUAACAGGAAGAAGCUUGCUUCUUUGCUGACGAGUGGCGGACGGGUGAGUAAUGUCUGGGAAACUGCCUGAUGGAGGGGGAUAACUACUGGAAACGGUAGCUAAUACCGCAUAACGUCGCAACACCAAAAAGGGGGACCUUCGGGCCUCUUGCCAUCUGAUGUGCCCAGAUGGGAUUAGCUAGUAGGUGGGGUAACGGCUCACCUAGGCGACGAUCCCUAGCUGGUCUGAGAGGAUGACCAGCCACACUGGAACUGAGACACGGUCCAGACUCCUACGGGAGGCAGCAGUGGGGAAUAUUGCACAAUGGGCGCAAGCCUGAUGCAGCCAUGCCGCGUGUAUGAAGAAGGCCUUCGGGUUGUAAAGUACUUUCAGCGGGGAGGAAGGGAGUAAAGUUAAUACCUUUGCUCAUUGACGUUACCCGCAGAAGAAGCACCGGCUAACUCCGUG